GAAUGCUGACAUAAGUAACGAUAAAGCGGGUGAAAAGCCCGCUCGCCGGAAGACCAAGGGUUCCUGUCCAACGUUAAUCGGGGCAGGGUGAGUCGACCCCUAAGGCGAGGCCGAAAGGCGUAGUCGAUGGGAAACGGGUUAAUAUUCCCGUACUUGGUGUUACUGCGAAGGGGGGACGGAGAAGGCUAUGUUGGCCGGGCGACGGUUGUCCCGGUUUAAGCGUGUAGGUGUGUGUUCCAGGUAAAUCCGGUUCACUUUAACACUGAGGCGUGACGACGAGGCACUACGGUGCUGAAGCAACAAAUGCCCUGCUUCCAGGAAAAGCCUCUAAGCAUCAGGUAACACGAAAUCGUACC
rnacentral:rRNA from 2 species